CCCAAUUGCAUGGCCGGUGAAAACGCUUAUAUUAACAGGUGAGCUUCGCUCUAUGGCGAUAAACCAAGCAGGUAAUAGAUGUUGCGGACCCGGGGGCGGUACCCGGCGCCUCCACCAAUGAGCCAAUCAAAUGCCGGUUGGCUGAUUGCUGGGGGCGAAAUAGGAUCGACGUGCAUUGAAAGCUGUUUGUUUUGCCCGUGAUGAUUCCGGCGUAACCGGGUCGUUAAACACAGUUGCAAACAACUAUGUUGCUCCGCGUGCUGCUCUCGCUGCGUAAGCAGCUGAGCCCGCGAAACUGAAUCCCUGUACAUUAGCAUGUGCAGGUGGGGUCUUGGGCACCUAGCAACAGAACGCCCAAUU
rnacentral:tmRNA from 1 species